GACGAACGCUGGCGGCGCGCCUAACACAUGCAAGUCGAACGGAGAGUACCUUCGGGUACUCUGAGUGGCGGACGGGUGAGUAACGCGUGAGCAAUCUGCCUUUCAGAGGGGGAUAAUGUCUGGAAACGGACACUAAUACCGCAUAACAUGUCGAGAUCGCAUGGUCAUGACAUCAAAGGAGCAAUCCGCUGAAAGAUGAGCUCGCGUCCAAUUAGGUAGAUGGUGAGGUAACGGCUCACCAUGCCGACGAUUGGUAGCCGGACUGAGAGGUUGAACGGCCACAUUGGGACUGAGACACGGCCCAG
rnacentral:rRNA from 1 species